rnacentral:lncRNA from 1 species
UAAUUUUAUGCAGCCAACUGAGGCACUAUUUUCAUUUCUGAAUUCUCAAUCAAGCCCUGAGGCAAAAUGAUCCUGUUUCUUAGCAACCCAGAUGGGCAGAGCCAGAUUAUACAUUUGAGCUCUUUUGUACAACAAAAGAAUAAAUAGCUCCCAGAAUAAACAUGUGCUGUGAGUUCAUCUCUUUGCUCAGCGUCCCCUAGCACUGUAGAGAAGAGAAGCCCGGCUGUGUGAUACAACACGUGAAGCUGGGCAGAGAAACCUGACUUUACAGAGUGGGGUUAAAAUACCUGUGAGGAAAAAUCCCAUAAUGCUCACCACUAGCUACAAAGGCAGACAGCCCACCUUCUCUUUUGAAAGACAAAUCAAAUUUUCUGCAUGCCUGGAUUUGGCCUUUGCACAGAAUCAAAGUUUUGUGCAGCAGCUCCGAGCCACCCCGCAGAGAGAUAUAUGGCAAAAGCAGCCUCCUGAUUUUAGCUACAAAUUCUAUAAAUCUUCUAGGCCUUCACGAAAACCACUAGAAAAGGAAAAGGAAGAUUUGAAGAAGGCCAAUAGCACUGAGACUAAGCAACAGCUGCCAAAGAUAAAGACCAGCCAGUUCCACACUGCUUCGGAAAGGAAGAAAGAGUUGCCCAAGAUUGUCACAAGGUUUCCACACGUGGGCUCAUAUGAAGUGGAUAUAAUGUUUGUGGAGAAUGGAAAAUAUAAGACUGGCAUAUACCAAGAUCCCAAACCACAUGAUUUUAGGCAGUAUGAAACUAAUAUACCAGACUUUGUGACAAGUUACUCCAGAGACCCUUUCAAUUUAAAGUUCAAAUCUCAACAUUUAAAUGCAAUUCAUGGACUUCAGCCAUUGAAAGACAAGCAAAAGGACACCAAGGGGAGAUUCAUUACUUACAAGCCUUGUGAAUGCAAAUGGGAAUCCAGGCUAAUUCUGCCAAAGAACCCUUGGCCACCGAAGUCUGCUUCAUUUACGAGACACAGAAGGCGACGUGGUGCCCACACGGCGUUCCUAGAUCGUGUGGAUGAAAAGCUAUGUACAAUAUGGCAGGAGGAAGAGAAGUGA